rnacentral:rRNA from 1 species
UACGUAGGGCGCAAGCGUUGUCCGGAAUUUAUUGGGCGUAAAGAGCUCGUAGGCGGCUUUGUUGCGUCGCUGUGAAAACCGCGGGCUUACCACCGCGGCCUGCAGUUGAUACGGGGCAAGCUAGAGUUCGGUAGGGGAGACUGGAAUUCCUGGUGUAGCGGUGAAAUGCGCAGAUAUCAGGAGGAACACCGGUGGCGAAGGCGGGUCUCUGGGCAGUAACUGACGCUGAGGAGCGAAAGCGUGGGGUAGCAAACAGGAUUAGAACCCAGUACGUCGAGACCAAGUCCAUCUGCACCUGA